UUAAGCGACUAAGCGUACACGGUGGAUGCCCUGGCAGUCAGAGGCGAUGAAGGACGUGCUAAUCUGCGAUAAGCGUCGGUAAGGUGAUAUGAACCGUUAUAACCGGCGAUUUCCGAAUGGGGAAACCCAGUGUGUUUCGACACACUAUCAUUAACUGAAUCCAUAGGUUAAUGAGGCGAACCGGGGGAACUGAAACAUCUAAGUACCCCGAGGAAAAGAAAUCAACCGAGAUUCCCCCAGUAGCGGCGAGCGAACGGGGAGCAGCCCAGAGCCUGAAUCAGUGUGUGUGUUAGUGGAAGCGUCUGGAAAGGCGCGCGAUACAGGGUGACAGCCCCGUACACAAAAAUGCACAUACUGUGAGCUCGAUGAGUAGGGCGGGACACGUGGUAUCCUGUCUGAAUAUGGGGGGACCAUCCUCCAAGGCUAAAUACUCCUGACUGACCGAUAGUGAACCAGUACCGUGAGGGAAAGGCGAAAAGAACCCCGGCGAGGGGAGUGAAAAAGAACCUGAAACCGUGUACGUACAAGCAGUGGGAGCACGCUUAGGCGUGUGACUGCGUACCUUUUGUAUAAUGGGUCAGCGACUUAUAUUCUGUAGCAAGGUUAACCGAAUAGGGGAGCCGAAGGGAAACCGAGUCUUAACUGGGCGUUAAGUUGCAGGGUAUAGACCCGAAACCCGGUGAUCUAGCCAUGGGCAGGUUGAAGGUUGGGUAACACUAACUGGAGGACCGAACCGACUAAUGUUGAAAAAUUAGCGGAUGACUUGUGGCUGGGGGUGAAAGGCCAAUCAAACCGGGAGAUAGCUGGUUCUCCCCGAAAGCUAUUUAGGUAGCGCCUCGUGAAUUCAUCUCCGGGGGUAGAGCACUGUUUCGGCAAGGGGGUCAUCCCGACUUACCAACCCGAUGCAAACUGCGAAUACCGGAGAAUGUUAUCACGGGAGACACACGGCGGGUGCUAACGUCCGUCGUGAAGAGGGAAACAACCCAGACCGCCAGCUAAGGUCCCAAAGUCAUGGUUAAGUGGGAAACGAUGUGGGAAGGCCCAGACAGCCAGGAUGUUGGCUUAGAAGCAGCCAUCAUUUAAAGAAAGCGUAAUAGCUCACUGGUCGAGUCGGCCUGCGCGGAAGAUGUAACGGGGCUAAACCAUGCACCGAAGCUGCGGCAGCGACGCUUAUGCGUUGUUGGGUAGGGGAGCGUUCUGUAAGCCUGCGAAGGUGUGCUGUGAGGCAUGCUGGAGGUAUCAGAAGUGCGAAUGCUGACAUAAGUAACGAUAAAGCGGGUGAAAAGCCCGCUCGCCGGAAGACCAAGGGUUCCUGUCCAACGUUAAUCGGGGCAGGGUGAGUCGACCCCUAAGGCGAGGCCGAAAGGCGUAGUCGAUGGGAAACAGGUUAAUAUUCCUGUACUUGGUGUUACUGCGAAGGGGGGACGGAGAAGGCUAUGUUGGCCGGGCGACGGUUGUCCCGGUUUAAGCGUGUAGGCUGGUUUUCCAGGCAAAUCCGGAAAAUCAAGGCUGAGGCGUGAUGACGAGGCACUACGGUGCUGAAGCAACAAAUGCCCUGCUUCCAGGAAAAGCCUCUAAGCAUCAGGUAACAUCAAAUCGUACCCCAAACCGACACAGGUGGUCAGGUAGAGAAUACCAAGGCGCUUGAGAGAACUCGGGUGAAGGAACUAGGCAAAAUGGUGCCGUAACUUCGGGAGAAGGCACGCUGAUAUGUAGGUGAAGUCCCUCGCGGAUGGAGCUGAAAUCAGUCGAAGAUACCAGCUGGCUGCAACUGUUUAUUAAAAACACAGCACUGUGCAAACACGAAAGUGGACGUAUACGGUGUGACGCCUGCCCGGUGCCGGAAGGUUAAUUGAUGGGGUUAGCGCAAGCGAAGCUCUUGAUCGAAGCCCCGGUAAACGGCGGCCGUAACUAUAACGGUCCUAAGGUAGCGAAAUUCCUUGUCGGGUAAGUUCCGACCUGCACGAAUGGCGUAAUGAUGGCCAGGCUGUCUCCACCCGAGACUCAGUGAAAUUGAACUCGCUGUGAAGAUGCAGUGUACCCGCGGCAAGACGGAAAGACCCCGUGAACCUUUACUAUAGCUUGACACUGAACAUUGAGCCUUGAUGUGUAGGAUAGGUGGGAGGCUUUGAAGUGUGGACGCCAGUCUGCAUGGAGCCGACCUUGAAAUACCACCCUUUAAUGUUUGAUGUUCUAACGUGGACCCGUAAUCCGGGUUGCGGACAGUGUCUGGUGGGUAGUUUGACUGGGGCGGUCUCCUCCUAAAGAGUAACGGAGGAGCACGAAGGUUGGCUAAUCCUGGUCGGACAUCAGGAGGUUAGUGCAAUGGCAUAAGCCAGCUUGACUGCGAGCGUGACGGCGCGAGCAGGUGCGAAAGCAGGUCAUAGUGAUCCGGUGGUUCUGAAUGGAAGGGCCAUCGCUCAACGGAUAAAAGGUACUCCGGGGAUAACAGGCUGAUACCGCCCAAGAGUUCAUAUCGACGGCGGUGUUUGGCACCUCGAUGUCGGCUCAUCACAUCCUGGGGCUGAAGUAGGUCCCAAGGGUAUGGCUGUUCGCCAUUUAAAGUGGUACGCGAGCUGGGUUUAGAACGUCGUGAGACAGUUCGGUCCCUAUCUGCCGUGGGCGCUGGAGAAUUGAGGGGGGCUGCUCCUAGUACGAGAGGACCGGAGUGGACGCAUCACUGGUGUUCGGGUUGUCAUGCCAAUGGCACUGCCCGGUAGCUAAAUGCGGAAGAGAUAAGUGCUGAAAGCAUCUAAGCACGAAACUUGCCCCGAGAUGAGUUCUCCCUGACUCCUUGAGAGUCCUGAAGGAACGUUGAAGACGACGACGUUGAUAGGCCGGGUGUGUAAGCGCAGCGAUGCGUUGAGCUAACCGGUACUAAUGAACCGUGAGGCUUAACCU
rnacentral:rRNA from 1 species